UAAUUUAUAUUUAAUUACAGUAUUGAUACCGUAACUUUAAUGAAAGCAUCAUAGAAUGAUCCCCACAAUGGUGUAUAAUCAACUAUCAUUUAAAUACAUCGCUAAGUUAAUGGUUUAACGCGUGAACUUAUAAGCAUUUGGGUCCUCUUUUCCAGGCGGGAUUUUGAAGACGAGUUGUACUCAAUGUAUGUACUAUGUACUUAAUAAUUGGUAGCAAGCCUUCUUUAAGGAAGGGCCUCGUCAUGGACGGAGUAAAUUGGGGAGCUUUGUAUGAUUGAAUGUAACGACUUUAAUUAAGUCUUAUAUUGCUAAGUUAAGGCUUAAUAUAUGAGCUUAUUGUCACUUUUAACUUAUUUAUCUUUCUUAAAGAUAAAUUCACUCAGUUUGUAACAUACUAUUGACCCAUUAUGUGGAAGAAUUCACUCAUCAAUGUAAAAUUGGAGAUGGCCAACAAAUUGGCCCGGCACGGCACAGCCCUUUCUGUGCCAAGCAUGCCAACAAUAUUUCACGCUAACAUAGUUUAGUCUUUAUAUAUUGUUACUAUACUUUCCUGACAAUUAGAUUUCUUGAGCCAAGUGGAUAUGGGCAUAUAAUUUUUUAAAUAUAGCUUCUUAUUUUCUUUCGAUUUUCUUGGUUCAAGUGAAAAAUUAUAUGUCCAUAUUCCACUUGGCAAAACAAAUUUAAAUGUCAAGAAAAUAAAAUAAUAAUAU
rnacentral:lncRNA from 1 species